rnacentral:rRNA from 1 species
UACAGAGGAGCCAAGCGUUGUCCGGAUUGACUGGGCGUAAAGCGCACGCAGGCGGACGCGCGCGUGGGGUGUGAAAUCUGGCCGCUUAACGGCCAGGCGCCAUCCCAUACGGCGCGUCUGGAGCAAUGCAGAGGUCGGUGGAAUUGCCGGUGUAGUGGUGAAAUGCGUAGAGAUCCGGAAGAACACCGGUGGCGAAGGCGGUUGGCUGGGCCGUGGCUGACACUGAUGCGCGACAGCGUGGGGAGCAAACAGG